AAGGGGAGCAAUCCCUGAGUAGAGUGGCAAACGGGUGAGUAACACGUGGGUGACCUGCCUCAGAGUGGGGGAUAACGUCCCGAAAGGGACGCUAAUACCGCAUAACAUCCUGCCUUUGGAAAGGCGGAGAUCAAAGCCGGGGAUCGCAAGACCUGGCGCUUGGAGAGGGGCCCGCGUCUGAUUAGCUAGUUGGUAGGGUAAUGGCCUACCAAGGCAACGAUCAGUAUCCGGCCUGAGAGGGCGGACGGACACACUGGGACUGAGACACGGCCCAGACUCCUACGGGAGGCAGCAGUGGGGAAUUGUUCGCAAUGGGCGCAAGCCUGACGACGCAACGCCGCGUGGAGGAUGAAGAUCUUCGGG
rnacentral:rRNA from 1 species